CCUACGGGGGGCAGCAGUGGGGAAUAUUGGACAAUGGGGGGAACCCUGAUCCAGCCAUGCCGCGUGUGUGAAGAAGGCCCUCGGGUUGUAAAGCACUUUCAGUGAGGAAGAACGCCUGGUGGUUAAUACCCAUCAGGAAAGACAUCACUCACAGAAGAAGCACCGGCUAACUCCGUGCCAGCAGCCGCGGUAAUACGGAGGGUGCGAGCGUUAAUCGGAAUUACUGGGCGUAAAGCGCGCGUAGGUGGCUUGAUAAGCCGGUUGUGAAAGCCCCGGGCUCAACCUGGGAACGGCAUCCGGAACUGUCAAGCUAGAGUGCAGGAGAGGAAGGUAGAAUUCCCGGUGUAGCGGUGAAAUGCGUAGAGAUCGGGAGGAAUACCAGUGGCGAAGGCGGCCUUCCGGACUGACACUGACACUGAGGUGCGAAAGCGUGGGUAGCAAACAGGAUUAGAUACCCCGGUAGUC
rnacentral:rRNA from 1 species